GACUCCUACGGGAGGCAGCAGUGAGGAAUCUUGCGCAAUGGGGGCAACCCUGACGCAGCCACGCCGCGUGCCGGAAGACGGCCCUAUGGGUUGUAAACGGCUUUUGAAUGAGAAGAACGUCCGGGUUUCGACCUGGAGUGACGGUAUCAUUCGAAUAAGCACCGGCUAACUCCGUGCCAGCAGCCGCGGUAAUACGGAGGGUGCAAGCGUUGUCCGGAAUCAUUGGGUGUAAAGGGUGCGUAGGCGGGAGCCUAAGUCUGUGGUGAAAUCUUGCCGCUUAACGGUAAAAUUGCCAUGGAUACUGGGUUUCUUGAGUACAGAAGAGGCCGGUGGAAUUCGUAGUGUAGCGGUGAAAUGCAUAGAUAUUACGAAGAACACCAGUGGCGAAGGCGGCCGGCUGGGCUGUAACUGACGCUGAGGCACGAAAGCGUGGGGAGCGAACAGGAUUAGAUACCCUGGUAGUCCACGCUGUAAACGAUGUAUGCUAGUUGUUGG
rnacentral:rRNA from 1 species